rnacentral:rRNA from 1 species
UCAAGUAAUUAAGCGCAUACGGUGGAUGCCUUGGCAGCUAGAGGCGAUGAAGGACGUAGUAACUUGCGAUAAGCUUCGGGGAGCCGGUAAACAGGCUUUGAUCCGAAGAUUUCCGAAUGGGAAAACCCACCUAGGACAACCUAGGUAUCUUUAUCUGAAUUCAUAGGAUAUAGAGGCAAACGCGGAGAAUUGAAACAUCUUAGUAACCGCAGGAAAAGAAAUCAAUUGAGAUUCUGUGAGUAGCGGCGAGCGAAAGCGGAACAGCCCUUAAGCUUUUAUUUGGUUAGUGGAAUGACCUGGAAAGGUCUGUCGUAGAAGGUGAUAACCCUGUACACGAAAACUAAAUAUAAGUGAAAUCGAGUAGGUCGGGACACGAGAAAUCUUGACUGAAUAUGGGGGGACCAUCCUCCAAGGCUAAAUACUCCUAGCUGACCGAUAGUGAACCAGUACCGUGAGGGAAAGGCGAAAAGUACCCCGGAGAGGGGAGUGAAAUAGAACCUGAAACCGUUUGCGUACAAGCUGUCGGAGCUUUUUAAGCCGUUCGCGGUUUAAAGAGUGACGGCGUACCUUUUGUAUAAUGGGUCAGCGAGUUAUUUUCUGUGGCAAGCUUAACUUUAUGAGGAAGGCGCAGGGAAACCGAGUCUUAAUAGGGCGACUUAGUCUCAGGUAAUAGACGCGAAACCGGACGAUCUAUCCAUGGCCAGGGUGAAGGUGAGGUAACACUUACUGGAGGCCCGAACCCACCUAUGUUGAAAAAUGGGGGGAUGAGCUGUGGAUCGGAGUGAAAGGCUAAUCAAGUUCGGAGAUAUCUCGUUCUCCCCGAAAUCUAUUUAGGUAGAGCCUCUUGUAUUACUGUUGGGGGUAGAGCACUGUUUCGGCUAGGGGGUCAUCCCGACUUACCAAACCGAUGCAAACUCCGAAUACCAACAAGUACAGCAAGGGAGACAGACUGCGGGUGCUAACGUCCGUAGUCGAGAGGGAAACAACCCAGACCGCCAGCUAAGGUCCCAAAUUGUGAUUAAGUGGGAAACGAUGUAGGAAGGCUUAAACAGCUAGGAGGUUGGCUUAGAAGCAGCCAUCCUUUAAAGAAAGCGUAACAGCUCACUAGUCGAGUCGGCCUGCGCGGAAGAUUUAACGGGGCUAAAUCACAAACCGAAGCUGCGGAUAAUUUACCGGUUACGGCCGGUCUAUUAUGGUAGGGGAGCGUUCUGUAAGCCGUUGAAGGCAAAUUGUAAGGUUUGCUGGAGGUAUCAGAAGUGAGAAUGCUGACAUGAGUAACGAUAAGAGAGGUGAAAAACCUCUCCGCCGAAAACCCAAGGUUUCCUGUCCAACGUUAAUCGGGACAGGGUGAGUCGACCCCUAAGGCGAGGGCGAAAGCCGUAGUCGAUGGGAAAUAGGUUAAUAUUCCUAUACUUCUUGUUACUGCGAUGGAGUGACGGAGAAGGCUAGGCCAGCAAGGUGAUGGAUAUCCUUGUUUAAGGUUGUAGGUUGGAAUUCUAGGUAAAUCCGGAAUUCUAAGACCGAGAACUGAUGACGAAUAUUUCUUUUAGAAAUACCAAGUGGUCGAUGCCAUGCUUCCAGGAAAAACUUCUAAGCUUCAGGUAGCAAGGAAUCGUACCGUAAACCGACACAGGUGGGUGGGUAGAGAAUACCAAGGCGCUUGAGAGAACUCUGGUGAAGGAACUAGGCAAAAUGGUACCGUAACUUCGGGAGAAGGUACGCCCUCAUUAGGUGAAGAGACUUGCUCUCAGAGCCGAAGAGGGUCGAAGAUACCAGGUGGCUGCGACUGUUUACUAAAAACACAGCACUCUGCUAACACGAAAGUGGACAGCCCCGGUGAACGGCGGCCGUAACUAUAACGGUCCUAAGGUAGCGAAAUUCCUUGUCGGGUAAGUUCCGACCUGCACGAAUGGCGUAACGAUGGCCACGCUGUCUCCACCAGAGACUCAGUGAAAUUGAAUUUGCGGUGAAGAUGCCGUAUACGCGCGGCUAGACGGAUAGACCCCGUGCACCUUUACUAUAGCUUCACACUGGACUUUGAAUUUAUUUGUGUAGGAUAGGUGGGAGACUUUGAAGCGUAGGCGCCAGCUUACGUGGAGUCAUCCUUGAAAUACCACCCUUAUAACUUUGGAGUUCUAACUUGGAUCCGUUAUCCGGAUCGAGGACAGUGUGUGGUGGGUAGUUUGACUGGGGCGGUCUCCUCCCAAAGAGUAACGGAGGAGUGCGAAGGUAACCUCAGCACGGUCGGACAUCGUGCAAUGAGUGCAAUGGCAUAAGGUUGCUUAACUGCGAGACAGACAUGUCGAGCAGAUACGAAUAAAAGGUACGCCGGGGAUAACAGGCUUAUACCCCCCAAGAGUUCACAUCGACGGGGGUGUUUGGCACCUCGAUGUCGGCUCAUCACAUCCUGGGGCUGGAGCAGGUCCCAAGGGUAUGGCUGUUCGCCAUUUAAAGUGGUACGCGAGCUGGGUUUAGAACGUCGUGAGACAGUUCGGUCCCUAUCUGCCGUGCGCGUUGGAAAUUUGAGAAGAGUCGCUCCUAGUACGAGAGGACCGGAGUGAACGAACCCCUGGUGUUCGGGUUGUCACGCCCGUGGCAUUGCCCGGUAGCUAUGUUCGGAAAGGAUAAUCGCUGAAAGUAUAUAAGCGAGAAGCCUCCUUCAAGACUAGAUUUCCCUGGACCUUCGGGUCCUUAAAGAGCCGUUCAAGACUAGGACGUUGAUAGGCGGGGUGUGUAAGCGCUGCAAGGCGUUGAGCUAACCCGUACUAAUUGCUCGAUAGGCUUGACCAU